UACGUAGGGUGCGAGCGUUAAUCGGAAUGAUUGGGCGUAAAGGGUGCGUAGGCGGUUUGUCAAGACGGAUGCGAAAUCCCCGGGCUUAACCUGGGAACAGCAUACGUGACUGGCAGGCUAGAGUAUGGCAGAGGGAGGUGGAAUUCCACGUGUAGCAGUGAAAUGCGUAGAGAUGUGGAGGAACACCGAUGGCGAAGGCAGCCUCCUGGGCCAAUACUGACGCUCAGGCACGAAAGCGUGGGGAGCAAACAGG
rnacentral:rRNA from 1 species